CUAAGAAUCUUGCGCAAUGGGCGAAAGCCUGACGCAGCAAUUCCGCGUGGAGGACGAAGGCCCUCGGGUCGUAAACUCCUUUUGCGAGGGAAGAAGUUCUGACGGUACCUCGCGAAUAAGCCACGGCUAACUACGUGCCAGCAGCCGCGGUAAUACGUAGGUGGCGAGCGUUGUCCGGAUUUAUUGGGCGUAAAGCGCCCGCAGGCGGCCUGAUAAGUUUCAGGUGAAAUCUCCCGGCUUAACUGGGAGGGGUCCUGGAAAACUGUCAGGCUUGAGGCAGGGAGAGGGAUGUGGAAUUCCCGGUGUAGUAGUGAAAUGCGUAGAUAUCGGGAGGAACACCAGUGGCGAAGGCGGCAUCCUGGCCCUGUCCUGACGCUCAGGGGCGAAAGCGUGGGGAGCAAACCGGAUUAGAUACCCGUGUAGUCC
rnacentral:rRNA from 1 species